AUUGCUUCUCGGCCUUUUGGCUAAGAUCAAGUGAAGUAUCUAUUCUUGGUUUUUUUUUCUCGUUUUUUUUUUUUGGCAAGGAAUAUUGGCCCUGAGCUAACAUCUAUGCCAAUCUUCCUCUAUUUCCUAGGUGGGACACUGCCAC
ensembl:snRNA U2 U2 spliceosomal RNA